rnacentral:rRNA from 1 species
AGCAGCCGCGGUAAUUCCAGCUCCAAUAGCGUAUAUUAAAGUUGUUGCAGUUAAAAAGCUCGUAGUUGAAUUUCGGGAUCAAUAUAUCGGUCAUGCUUAGGUAUGUACUGGUAUUAUUGAUUUCUCCCUUCUGAAGAACCAUGAUGUCAUUAAUUUGAUGUCGUGGGGAAUCAGGACUGUUACUUUGAAAAAAUUAGAGUGUUUAAAGCAGGCAUACGCUUGAAUACAUUAGCAUGGAAUAAUGAAAUAGGACGUUUGAUUCUAUUUUGUUGGUUUCUAGGAUCGACGUAAUGAUUAAUAGGGAUAGUUGGGGGCAUUAGUAUUCAAUUGUCAGAGGUGAAAUUCUUGGAUUUAUUGAAGACUAACUACUGCGAAAGCAUUUGCCAAGGAUGUUUUCAUUAAUCAAGAACGAAAGUUAGGGGAUCGAAGACGAUCAGAUACCGUCGUAGUCUUAACCAUAAACUAUGCCGACUAGGGAGUCGGAUGAUGUUUAAUUUUUAAUGACUUCUA